rnacentral:rRNA from 1 species
GAUGAACGCUGGCGGCGUGCCUAAUACAUGCAAGUCGAGCGAACAGACGAGGAGCUUGCUCCUCUGACGUUAGCGGCGGACGGGUGAGUAACACGUGUAUAACCUACCUAUAAGACUGGGAUAACUUCGGGAAACCGGAGCUAAUACCGGAUAAUAUAUUGAACCGCAUGGUUCAAUAGUGAAAGACGGUUUUGCUGUCACUUAUAGCUGCAUCCGGGCCGCAUUAGCUAGUUGGUAGGGUAACGGCUUACCAAGGCGACGAUGCGUAGCCGACCUGAUAGGGGGAUCGGCGACACGGGAGCGGGGACGCGGUCAAGAGGCCUACGAGAGGCAGCAGUAGGGAAUGUGCCGCAGUGGGCGAGAGCCUGACGGAGCAGCGCGGAGUGUGAGAUGAAAGUCUUCGGAGCGUAAAACUCGGUUAUUGGGGAAGAACAAAUGUGGAAGUAAAUAUACAGGUAUUGACGGUACCUGGUAAAAAAGCCACGGCUAACUACGUG